GACGAACGCUGGCGGCGUGCCUAAUACAUGCAAGUCGAACGCACAGUUUAUACCGUAGCUUGCUACACCAUAAACUGUGAGUUGCGAACGGGUGAGUAACGCGUAGGUAACCUGCCUGGUAGCGGGGGAUAACUAUUGGAAACGAUAGCUAAUACCGCAUAAUAUUGAUUAUUGCAUGAUAAUUGAUUGAAAGAUGCUAUUGCAUCACUACCAGAUGGACCUGCGUUGUAUUAGCUAGUAGGUGAGGUAACGGCUCACCUAGGCGACGAUACAUAGCCGACCUGAGAGGGUGAUCGGCCACACUGGGACUGAGACACGGCCCAGACUCCUACGGGAGGCAGCAGUAGGGAAUCUUCGGCAAUGGACGAAAGUCUGACCGAGCAACGCCGCGUGAGUGAAGAAGGUUUUCGGAUCGUAAAGCUCUGUUGUAAGAGAAGAACGGGUGUGAGAGUGGAAAGUUCACACUGUGACGGUAUCUUACCAGAAAGGGACGGCUAACUACGUG
rnacentral:rRNA from 1 species